AUAUUGGCGAGAGACCGAUAGCGAACAAGUACCGUGAGGGAAAGAUGAAAAGCACUUUGGAAAGAGAGUUAAACAGUACGUGAAAUUGUUGAAAGGGAAACGAUUGAAGUCAGUCAUGCUCGUAGGGAUUCAACCGGUUCUGCCGGCCUAUUUCCCUACUUGCAGGCCAGCAUCAGUUUUGACCGGUGGAAAAGGUUGGAGGGAAUGUGGCAUCCUCGGAUGUGUUAUAGCCCUCUUUCGCAUACAUCGGUUGGGACUGAGGAACACAGCACGCCUUUAUGGUCGGUCUUCGGACACGUACGUGCUUAGGAUGCUGGCAUAAUGGCUUUAAACGACCCGUCUUGAAACACGGACC
rnacentral:rRNA from 1 species